CGGACGGGUGAGUAACGCGUGGGUAACCUGCCUCAUACAGGGGGAUAACAGUUAGAAAUGACUGCUAAUACCGCAUAAGACCACAGCACCGCAUGGUGCAGGGGUAAAAACUCCGGUGGUAUGAGAUGGACCCGCGUCUGAUUAGGUAGUUGGUGAGGUAACGGCCCACCAAGCCGACGAUCAGUAGCCGACCUGAGAGGGUGACCGGCCACAUUGGGACUGAGACACGGUCCAG
rnacentral:rRNA from 1 species